rnacentral:lncRNA from 1 species
UAGCACAUGGAAGUUCCCAGGCUAGGGGUCUAAAUUGGAGCUGUUGCCACUGGCCUGCGCCAGAGCCACAGCAACACCAGAUCCGAGCUGCAUCUGAGAACUACACCACAGUUCACGCCAACACUGGAUCCUUAACCCACUGAGCAAGGCCGGGAAUUGAACCUGCAACCUCAUGGUUCCUAGUCUGAUUCAUUUCCAAUGCGCCAUGACGGGAACUCCCUUACUUUUUUAUAGAUGGGGAAACUGAGGCUCUAGAAGCCUGGGCAACUCACCUAAGGCCCACACUAUGAGUGAGUGGUCAGAAAGGGUUAUAACCCAGGACUGUUAUGAUCCUCCAAAUUUUGUUUUGUCAACCAUUCUUCUCUACUGCCUCCGUCUUUAUAACAUGUCCUUCACGUUGCUUGUUUGGUUUGAAUGUCUAUGUGUGUGAUUCCUUUUUCUCAAUAUGAUUUUAAUUAUACAGUUACCUGAAUAAAUACAAUUUGAAUUUGGCAUUAGCUGUAAUGUGGUUUUCCCAUUGGUGAGCAUAAUCACAGAACAUAAUUGACUGCCCAGCCUGUCUCCUUUAGGGACAGAGGGACAGCCCAGUGUGAACUUAUGCUUAACAUUUCUUUACAGGGUCAGCUCCUUGUAUUUGCUCACAUGUACACAAUGAAAUGGCAGAGUCUGAGGGAAUAUAUUGAUUAUCAAAGGAUUCUAGACCAACUUUCUCAUUUUCAGAAGAUAGAAUUGGAAGGCCCAUGAGUUUAAAUAACUUGCAAUAAUAACUCUCAAGAAGGUAAAAUUGUCCCUCACUAGAGGAAAGGCUGUAGAACUUUUAGAAACCUCUCAAUGCACAUAUGGAUUAUAUUUCAUUUUAUGAUAUUCCUAAAUCCAUGUGUUCAUAUAUUCAGUGACACCCUAUAGGCAGCCGCUACUGCCAUCUGUUGGUGAUGAACAGAGCUGGUGCAUAAAAUGGUUCCUUUCCAUGAAAGUUCUUAAGUUAAAACUUCAUUGCAGGAACUUCUGUAUUCAUUAAAAAAAAAAAAAAAAAAAAAGUAAGGCAUGUGGAAUCAGAUAUACCUGGGUUCAAAUCUUGGCUGUGUUUCAUGCAAGAACUGUAACCACUUUCAUCCAUGAUUUUCCAUUUGUAAAGUGGGGAUAAUAUACAGUUCAUAGGGAUGCUGUAAGAAUUAAGAAACAAAUGUGUAUUAAUUUGAGUAAAUGCUAGCCAAAAUCUCAGCAGCUCAACACAGUCUCCUGUUAACAUCGCAGUUACUUGCUCAUGUCAUGGUUCAAAGUGGGUGCUCCAGAUGUGUCACGACCAAGCUACUUCCAUCUUAUGACUCUGCCGUCUUCAACUCUGGCCUCCAAUAUCCACCAGCAAAGAAAGAGGAGAGGGCGUGGAGGUGAGCAAGUUUUCAUGGGCCGGGCCUGGAACUGCACAGAUUAUUUCCAUAUCCAUUCCGCUGGUCGGGGCUCCAUCCCAUGGUCGCAUCUCACAGCUGGGAAGACUGGGAAACAUGAUCCAAUAAUGCCUGCAUAAUUUUUAGUGAUGGAAACAUAAGCAUCAUUUUAUGCAGUUGUAAUUUUUCUUUGUGUAAUAUGUAACACUAUUUUUCUCAGUUUUUAGUAUAACACAGAUCUGAAACUAAAAAGCAGCUGCUAUGCUGAAAUAAGCAGUGCUCUUGAAGAUAUGGCUUUGAAUCCUUUGUGAUCUUGGAUAUAUCACUCAGCCAAUCUGAACCCUAGUCCUUAUCUAGAGAAGAAUGGGGGUAAAGCCAGCUAGUAUCUGUGUAGUCUGUCCUCAUUCCCAUCUCUCCAGUUCUAAAGGUUUACAGCUUUGUACACAAAGAUAAUGUGAAGCAAAACAAAACAAAACAUGCAGUGACUCUCAAGUAGACAGUGGUAGAACUCAAGUCUUGGAUGCGCUUAGAUGGGAAGAUUUCUCAAAGAGAAAUCACUCUAAGCCCAUUCUUGGAGGAUGUAGUGGUCCUGAAUAGAAGGAAUGAGAUAAAGGAUGCUAUGCAAGGAAGACAUGAAGAGGACCACAAAUAGAAACUAGGGGACAGAGCAUGGUGAGGAGGAGCACCUGCUGAAAAGGGGGAAUGUGCCAGAGUGGGACUGGGGUGCAUUGAAGAUGUAGUUUUGUUUCGUUUCACUUUUUAUUAGAGUAUAGUUGACUUAUAAUGUGUUAGUUUCAGGUGUACAGCAAAGUGUAUCAGUUGUACCUAUACAUAUAGCCAUUUCUCUUCAGAUUCUUUUCCCAUAUAGGUCACUACAGAGUAUUGAAUGGGUUUCCCUGUGCUAUGCAGUAGGUCACUGUUACUCAUCCAUUCCAUAUAUAGUAGUGUGUAUGUGUCAAUUCCACCUCCCAAUUUAUCCCUCCUCCCAGCAUUUCCCCUUUGGUAACAAUAAGUUUGGUUUUAAAGUCUUUGAGACUCUUUCUGUUUUGUGAAUAAAUUAUUUUGUAUAAUUUUUAUUAGACAUCCCAUAUUAGUCGUCUCAUAUAUUUGUCUUUCUCUGACUUACUUGAAGGUGUGAAGGUGUAGUCUGGUAGGAGAGGGAAAGAAAACAUUAAUGAUGGGCUGCCAGAUGCAGUGGUCGUAUUGAAUCCUAAAGGAUCCCAAUAGGAAGCCAGUUAUGGUUUUUGUACAGGUAAGUGACAUCACAAAAACCUGCUAGUCUAAUCUGCAAUCUGAUCAGACCAUAGCUUGGCUGUGACAUAGCACUUGAUGUGACAGUACCACUUACCAAAUUGCUGAACUUCUAAUGUCUAAAUGCUCCAUAAAUAGUCUCUCAAAUAUGUUAGUUAUCUGAAUUAUAUUCUCAUUUCAUGGAAAAAGAAGGAGUUUCACCUGGUAAUGAAGAAAAGAUGAGGAUGUGGGAAAAAUCAAGUAGUUUACAUUGAAAAAAAGCCCUCAUUUCUCUGCUUUAUUUUUAUUUUAUUUUUAAUCAAGGCUAAAUAUGUAGGUAAGACAUGAGUCAGAACAGACUCAGAAAGUACCUAGAAGCCUGCAGCAUUUGAAGCAUGCUAGCUAGUUUCAUGUGGGUGAAGUUUGGUUUUCAGGAAGACGAAUUGAAAACAGAACUUGUUUGUUUAGAAUUGCCACUCUUCAGGGGACAGACAGUCAAGGAUGUUCUAUGAACCAAGAGGGAAAAGGAUUUCUUCUUGGGAACUGCUGCAGAGCCUUGUCUGGAGAGAGUCUGGCCCCAGGGCAUCCCCUGAACACAUUUCGGCCUUUCUUUGGUCCAGGUUUGGGAAGAUGUGACCUUGGCGAAGUUUGAGUGGAAAUUCAGUUCAGCCCUCCAACCAGGUCUCCAAUAAAGGCCUCUGUCACCCUCUCAAGAAAGACUAGAAGAUAGAAACAUUCCAUGGGAAAGCUCUUGAUGAUGUUCUUGACUCUCCUUCAGAUCUUAUAAGCUCUUGGGAAGCACUAUUUGUAGUUUUUGCUUUUAAGAAAAAGGUUAAAUUUCAGAUGGGUAACUCUUUGUUAUUUACUACCUAUGAAUUUUUUUACACAAGUGAAAUAGUACACUAUUAAGUAACCACAUGACCUUGGCAAGUCACAAGGUUUUUCUGGGCUUUGGGCUUUGGUUUUCUUUGUAAAACACAGAGACUAGGUUAUAUAAUCUCCGAAGACUCUUCCUGAUCUGAAAUGAUAAAUUCUAAUUCAAACAACUUCCUUUUUCUGGUGAAGUAACAUGAAGCCUGAGGUUACUUUAUCACAUUGUUCUAAAUCUCUGUCACUCUUGAAAUGUACAGGAAAAAGACUGGCAGCCCAUUGAGUGUGUAAGGUGGAAAGGCUCCUCGGUUCAGCGCAGCACCACGUUGAUGGGAGAUUGAGCUCAGAGCUGCUUGCCUCCCACCCCCACAACAGGGGGGUGUUCACACCUUCACGCUUCUUAGAAACACCAGUGUUUUUAUUGUGGCUGUGCAAUAGAUUGUCUGACGGAGUGCACUUUCCAGUUCGACAGUACUUUAUAUACUUUCUACUCUUAUUCUUUAUCCCCUUUCAUAUUUUAAAAUGAGUUCUACUUCUUUCACAAGAGGUAAUUUCUUCUACAGCAAGACCAUAUCCUAAAUAGAACAAUUUUAUAUACAGUGGUCAGAACAGAGGAUGUAAUGAUAACGUGAUAGUCAAUGAUGAGAGCUAGAAAAAUAUCAUAGGAUUUUAGUGCUGGUCUAAUCUGGGCUAAUUUAACUACAUAAAAUUAACUAGAAUUAAAUUAAAUUUUUAGUCUCUCUGUCAUGCUAGACACAUUUCAAGUGCUCAAUACUAGCUCAAUUUCAAGUGCACAUGUGGCGAGAACUACUGUUUUAGGUUCCUUUUGUUUGUUCGUUUGUUUCUUUCUUUCUUUUGGCCACAUGCAUGGCAUGUGCACGGCCCCUGGGCAAGGAUCCAAGGGGAGCCACAGCAGCAGUCCAAGCCACUGUGCCACCACACCAGAUCUUUAACCUGCUAUGCCACAAGAGAACUCUAAAUUCCUUUUUUAUUAUUAUUGAAAUAUAAUUUAUUUACAAUGUUGUGUUAAUUUCUGCUGUAAAGCAAGUAAUUCAGUUACACAUGUAUAUACACUUUUAAAUAUUCUUUCCCAUUAUGGCUUAUAUGAAGGACAUAUAUAGAAAUAUGGAAUAGGAAUAUAGUUCCCUAUAAGACCUUGUAGUUUAUCUCCUCCACCUAUAAUAGUUUACUUCUGCUAAGCCCAGCCUCCCAGUCCAUCCCUCUCCCAACCUCCUACCCUUGGCAACCACAAGUCUGUUCUCCAGAUCAAUUAGUCAUAGAAUCAUGUUCUUAAGAGAUGCCAGGGAACUUGAAAAUCACAUAGUACAUUCUUCUAUCCAGGACAGUUCAAAUCUUUCCAGUACCAAAGAAUUUGUCAUCUUACAGAGUGGUCCAUUCCAUUUUGGGAAAACUUUAUACUAGAAAGUUCUUCCUUAAAUUUGGUCAAAAUCUAUAUCCCUGUAACUUCUGCUCUCUUUCUAUAUACACAAAAUAAGUGUAAUAAUUCUUCUGCUUGGAACUUCACCAGAACAUCAGUGCCAUUAUUGUUUCUGCCUGAACUCUUCUUUUCCAGUUAACCCAUGCCACUGGGGAGGAGGCUGAGGCUUGGUGCAGUUCUGCCUCACACCUUGUAACUCCACAACACAGCUGGGACUGAAUCCAGGUUUCCAUUUGGUAUGUUCCAGUGAAAUCUUACUGCUUCCAAGUCUAGCAGCUAUACCAUUAAAAAUGUGUGUAUAUGAGUUUAUAGAGUUGAAAUUCUUGUUCUUUUAUCUUUCUUUCCAUUUUCUUGGUGUCAUUCUCCCAUUGCUUUAUUCUCAUUUUUCACUGCAUGGUUCCGAAGAGACUCUAGGUUAUUUCUCCUCCUGUGGAACAAAGAUUACUGGAACUCUGCAUGAAUAUUUCAGAACAUAAAACAGUUGCUUCCCUGCCCCUAAUAACCCCAGCUACCUGGCAAAGAAAUCACAUUGAAGGCUUGCUUCCAUCUGCCAGUUUGAAAGCAGUAUGAGGACAUAAGAGGGAGCUUGAAGGACUCAAGGUAAAUGAUCUACUUCCAUAUGGUGUCUAGAGGAGAGGAUGUGCUUGAUAACUUCAGUAAGAAAGGUCAUCUACAUCUGCACAGGGCUUCUGUGGAGACUUUGCAGGUGAGAUAAGGGUUAGUGCCAUUUGUAGCUUCAGAUCUGUUUGACAAAUGCUUUCAAAGUGUGGUGUUUUUGCUGGGGCAACAAAGAUGAUUAACACAGGGUCUUUACCCUCCAGUCACUGGCAGGGGGCCAGGUGGAGUCAAUGAACACUCAAGGACCACUCUAGGCAACCCCACUGAGCCCUUGGAUGUGUUAUUGCAAAGAAACCAGCAGGACCUUAAAUGGUUACAAGCAGUUGUCACAGCAAAACAACUUCUGAGAAUCAUUAGGUAAAGGAAUCUUAUAGACCAAGCUUUCUAGGGAAGAAGACUCUGACCAAACCAGCCAGGGCCCAGGAGGAGAUCUGGCACUGCAUAAACAGCUAUCUUCCCUACCAACAAAAACUGCUACCUGAUUCAUUUCAUUAAAUUCUGCAUACCAUCAAAAAUAAUAAUAAUGUCACCAGACUCCACCACUAGCCAUGCCCUUUAACAUCCAGUUCUAGGUCCAUGGUUGACUCUAUAUAUGUAUGUAUACAUUCUUAUUAUUAUUCCUACAUAUAUGUAUUAUUUGUGUAUGUGUACACACACAUAUGCAAAUAAUACACAUAGGUAGGAUCUUAUAUAGAUGUUUUUAAUGUAUAUGUAUACAUAUAUAGGCAUAAUUUUAUGUUAUGUUUUAUAUUUUCAUGGUCUUACAAAUGUGUGUAUGUGCACAAAUGUAUAUUUAUAUAAUACAUCUUUCUAGUUGUGACACAAAUAUAUACUUCUGUGUAACACAUACUAUGUAUGUGUAUGAUACAUACACACUAAGGACAUUUCUAAAGGGAUACCCAAGAAAUUUUUCGUGGUGGUUUCCUUGGGAAAGUAGGAAUGGGGACCUUGGGGCUGGAAUAGAGAAGUACACAUUUAUAUUUCAUUUUAUAGCCUUUCCAUGUUUUAAUUUUUUACUGUCUCUUUAUUACUCUUAGAACAACAAAAACAUUUUUCUUAAUACUGGGUUAUACUAAAGACAACAUCAUCUAUCUUUGCUUUGUUUUCCAACAUGAGCUCCAAAAUGCGAUAGAGGUAAAAAGCCUUAUUCCAAGCUGGGCUCCUCCAGGCAUCUUACCUUAGAUGAUUGCAGUGGCUGUUUUUUUUUCCAAUCUGCUAGCCUGAGAUAGCUUGGCCCAAGUUAAGGUCAAAUGAGAUGAUAUAUGUACUUAUGUGAAAGUGCUCUGCAAACUGUGUAUUUCUACAUGCAGGUCCAAAUAUUGGAUCCUCAAAGAAUACUCCGAACUACCCAGCUUGACUAAAAUCACCUAGGUCCUGGUCCUCUUCACUAGCCUAUUUUUGAAAAGGGAUGUGCACAGCAUGGGGUGGGGCUGGGGGUGGGGGCUGUGAUAUAAUGUGAUGUAAUGACAGGGAAAGUAGUGGGAGCAUGAAGAAAAGAAAGAAGAGGGACAGUAGUACAGGCACCUUAGGCAGAGGGUGGGAGAAAAAGCCUCUAGGAGCCCUGAUGUAAUUCUGACCUCUUUGUGGA